GGAAAAAAAAUGCAAAUAGGCUAAUCUUGGAUUGGAAGAUAAAAUUUGUCACUCACAGUGAGCCCAUCCUCCUCUAGGCGUGGGAGGUGGACAAGCCUCAGAACAAUUGGUAAAACAGACAGAAGAAAAGUGCAGCAAGAUGUAUGGUCCCAUACCAACCUGGAUACCAGAUAUGAAAGCUGCACUGGACCUUAAUGUCACCACUACUGCUGCAAGGCCUAGUAGACCCUUGGCCCAAAGAGAGACUGUUAUACAUCCAACGCAACAGCUGUCAGAAAUCUACCAACUGAGAACUUUGAUUGCUUUAACCCACUGAUGAACAUCACACACGUGCUGCUGAUGCAGUUAAAAACAUGCUGAUUUUUGUGAACUGUACUUGAAAGAGAAUGUGGCCAAUUUGGGCUUAUGGGUGGUUAACAGCAGAGUGAAAAGAUUAAUGAUACAGCUAAAUUAACUUAAUGAUGUGUGAUAGAAUCAACAGGUGGAGUGUAAUGGAUAGAAAAUAUUCAUGAUUUCAUAAACAAAUAAUGAUUUAAUAGUCAAUUUCUUAGCAGUUUAUCUUACACAAUAUUGCUUAGUAGAGGACAUAUAUACACAGUACAGAUACAUAGUUUUCUCUAUACAUAUAAAUAUUCAGUAUAUAUACCUAUUUAGCACAAUUAUGCCUUUAAGAAGUCACGUUACACUUGUAAAUAUAUACAGAUAUUUUAUAUAUGUAUAUAUAGGGGGCGCUCUCUAUAAAACAAAAUAAUGAAACGAGUCCAUAUCAAAUGUCCAAAAGCAAUCUAUCUGAAGUAAAGAUAGUAGGCAUCAACAGGCAGUUCCUUGGCACAGGCAAUGGUUCACCACCUCCAGAAAGCCUAGAAGCGAUAGCACAAGGGUCCCGUAUGGCGUAGCACAGUCACAAAUAUUGUAUAUGAAUAGGAUAAAAAUACACUCACAUAUGAAGUGCACCACAAGGUGACAAAUAAGCUGGAACUCCACAGUUGUCCAUCUGACUCACAACCGGCAAUGCGGGAUAUAAAAGUCAUCAGGAUCCAAUUCCAAAAUGAUGUCUCAAUGAACACUCUGUAAAGACAAAACAGCAAAACCACAUGAGCAAGCACAGUCACAGAAGAGAAAUAGUGAAACGGAAUGUAACACUCACAAGAUCAAAGCACCUCAGGUGCAAUAAACGUACCUGAGUUACAUUCUAUUUCACUAUUUCUCUUAUGUGACUGUACUUGCUCAUGUGGUGUCAUCUACCAUAUUCCUUUAUAUCACUGUUUAAUAAAAAAACAUAUAUAUAUUACUUUCAAUAUGCUUAAAUAUGAGGGACAUUAUAGGUGUGCACUGACACUAAACUAAGCUGAAUGACACAACGGUGGGGGUUUUUAUCAGUGCACCUAGGGCCAUUUGGAACUUUUAAUACUUGCAAGCCCCUCUCCAUUUGAUCUCCCAGAAGCAAGAGAGAAAGUGCAGACAAGGGUCAUUGACGUCAGGAGCCCGGAAUAGGCCCCACCCACCUGCUAGACAAGGACAGAUUAAGUCACUGUCUUUGCUGUAGCUGCCAUCAUGCUUUCAUUUGAGCACUAAAUUGAUUUAAACUACAUUAUAUACAUAUUAAAAAUAUAUAUUUUCACUACUAUAAAUAUAUGUGGUGUUGUGGGAAAGUCAUCUGUUUAUGUAUUUUUCCUUUAUAUUUUACAUUUUGGUGAAAAUAUAUUAAUACAAUAAAAUGUAAAAAUAAAAAAAAUCACAUAC